rnacentral:tRNA from 1 species
AAGGUUUUAGCUUAAUUAAAGCAUUUGUUUUGCAUACAGAAGAUGUGGGAUAGUAUCCCGCAAGUCUUA